rnacentral:tRNA from 1 species
GGGGCUGUAGCUCAGCUGGGAGAGCGCUACAAUGGCAUUGUAGAGGUCGUGAGUUCGAUCCUCAUCAGCUCCACCA